GACGAACGCUGGCGGCGUGCUUAACACAUGCAAGUCGAACGGAAAGGCCCUGCUUUUGUGGGGUGCUCGAGUGGCGAACGGGUGAGUAACACGUGAGUAACCUGCCCUUGACUUUGGGAUAACUUCAGGAAACUGGGGCUAAUACCGGAUAGGAGCUCCUGCUGCAUGGUGGGGGUUGGAAAGUUUCGGCGGUUGGGGAUGGACUCGCGGCUUAUCAGCUUGUUGGUGGGGUAGUGGCUUACCAAGGCUUUGACGGGUAGCCGGCCUGAGAGGGUGACCGGCCACAUUGGGACUGAGAUACGGCCCAGACUCCUACGGGAGGCAGCAGUGGGGAAUAUUGCACAAUGGGCGGAAGCCUGCUGCAGCAACGCCGCGUGCGGGAUGACGGCCUUCGGGUUGUAAACCGCUUUCGCCUGAGACGAAGCGUGAGUGACGGUAAUGGGUAAAGAAGCACCGGCUAACUACGU
rnacentral:rRNA from 1 species